rnacentral:misc_RNA from 1 species
GAUGAAGAACGUAGCGAAAUGCGAUAAGUAAUGUGAAUUGCAGAAUUCAGUGAAUCAUCGAAUCUUUGAACGCACAUUGCGCCCCUUGGUAUUCCGAGGGGCAUGCCUGUUCGAGCGUCAUUAAUUCCACUUAAGCCCUGCUUAGUGUUGGGAAUCUACUCUAGUGGUGCUACCCUGGAGCUACCCCUGAAAGGGGGCUGGCCCGGUAGUUACCCUGUAGUUCCUCAAAGAUAGUGCGCGGAGUUGCGUGGUCCUCUGAGCUUAGUAACUAUACACCUAGCUUUUGAGUGUCCCGCGGCGCCUGCCGUUUAAACCCCAUCUUUUAAUGGUUGACCUCGGAUCAGGUAGGAAUACCCGCUGAACUUAAGCAUAUCAAUAAGCGGAGGA